rnacentral:rRNA from 1 species
UACGUAGGGGGCAAGCGUUGUCCGGAAUCAUUGGGCGUAAAGCGCGUGUAGGCGGCCCGGAAAGUCUGGUGUGAAAUCUUGGGGCUCAACCCUAAGCUGUCACUGGAUACUAUCGGGCUUGAGUCUGGAAGAGGAGUGUGGAAUUCCUGGUGUAGCGGUGGAAUGCGCAGAUAUCAGGAGGAACACCGAUGGCGAAGGCAGCACUCUGGUACAUGACUGACGCUGAGACGCGAAAGCGUGGGUAGCAAACAGG